rnacentral:rRNA from 1 species
UGUUUUCCGCGUUAAACCGUGUAUGAGUCUGUUGGAAUACAGCGUCAUAGAGGGUGAGAACCCCGUUCAUGACACGGCUUUUAAUGCUUUGUGAUACACUUUCGAUGAGUCGAGUUGUUUGGGAAUGCAGCUCAAAUUGGGUGGUAAAUUCCAUCUAAAGCUAAAUAUUGGCGGGAGACCGAUAGCAAACAAGUACCGUGAGGGAAAGAUGAAAAGCACUUUGGAAAGAGAGUUAAAAGUACGUGAAAUUGUCGAAAGGGAAACGCUUGAAGUCAGACGUGCACGGGAUUAUUCUCAUUGCAGGCCAACAUCGGUUUUGCGAGCCGGAUAAAGGUAGAAGGAAGGUAGCAGUCUCGGCUGUGUUAUAGCCUUCUACUGAAUACGGAUUGCGAGACCGAGGGACGCAGCGCGCCGCAAGGCAAAGGGUCCGCCCUUUUCGCGCUUAGGAUGUUGGUGAAAUGGCUUUAAACGACCC